rnacentral:rRNA from 1 species
GAUGAACGCUGGCGGCGUGCCUAAUACAUGCAAGUCGAGCGAACAGACGAGGAGCUUGCUCCUCUGACGUUAGCGGCGGACGGGUGAGUAACACGUGGAUAACCUACCUAUAAGACUGGGAUAACUUCGGGAAACCGGAGCUAAUACCGGAUAACAUGUUGAACCGCACGGUUUAACAGUGAAAGACGGUCUUGCUGUCACUUAUAGAUGGAUCCGCGCCGCAUUAGCUAGUUGGUAAGGUAACGGCUUACCAAGGCAACGAUGCGUAGCCGACCUGAGAGGGUGAUCGGCCACACUGGAACUGAGACACGGUCCAGACUCCUACGGGAGGCAGCAGUAGGGAAUCUUCCGCAAUGGGCGAAAGCCUGACGGAGCAACGCCGCGUGAGUGAAGAAGGUCUUCGGAUCGUAAAACUCUGUUAUUAGGGAAGAACAAAUGUGUAAGUAACUAUGCACGUCUUGACGGUACCUAAUCAGAAAGCCACGGCUAACUACGU